CUCUGCAGGUAGAUGGGCGGUCCGUAGCUGCUUCCAAGGAACUACCACUGCUGAACAUAGCAAGCAAGGAAGAUACACAAGGAGAGAGGAGUCAAGGAAACAGGCCAACAACUCGGCAUAAUGCAACAGGAAUGAGGCGAGAUGUUUUAUUUCAUCCACUCAGAUGUGAUCAUCUUAAAUGUCUGUGAGUCCUGAACAG